CNGCCGCGCGGCGGGCGGGGCGGGGGCACGGGGGGAGGAAAGUAGGGGAUCGCAAGACCUUGCGCUAAAGGAGCGGCCGAUGUCUGAUUAGCUAGUUGGUGGGGUAAAGGCUUACCAAGGCAACGAUCAGUAGUUGGUCUGAGAGGACGGCCAACCACACUGGGACUGAGACACGGCCCAGACUCCUACGGGAGGCAGCAGUGGGGAAUUUUGGACAAUGGGCGAAAGCCUGAUCCAGCCAUGCCGCGUGAGUGAAGAAGGCCUUCGGGUUGUAAAGCUCUUUUAGUCGGAAAGAAAGAGUUGCAAUGAAUAAUUGUGAUUUAUGACGGUACCGACAGAAAAAGCACCGGCUAACUACGUGCCAGCAGCCGCGGUAAUACGUAGGGUGCGAGCGNNNAUCGGAAUUACUGGGCGUAAAGGGUGCGCAGGCGGUCUUGCAAGUCAGA
rnacentral:rRNA from 1 species